UACACACCGCCCGUCACACCAUGGGAGCGGGUUCUGCCAGAAGUAGUUAGCCUAACCGCAAGGAGGGCGAUUACCACGGCAGGGUUCGUGACUGGGGUGAAGUCGUAAACAAGGUACU
rnacentral:rRNA from 1 species